rnacentral:rRNA from 1 species
AGCAGUAGCCACGGUAAUACGUAGGGUGCAAGCGUUAAUCGGAAUUACUGGGCGUAAAGCGUGCGCAGGCGGUUAUAUAAGACAGAUGUGAAAUCCCCGGGCUCAACCUGGGAACUGCAUUUGUGACUGUAUAGCUAGAGUACGGCAGAGGGGGAUGGAAUUCCGCGUGUAGCAGUGAAAUGCGUAGAUAUGCGGAGGAACACCGAUGGCGAAGGCAAUCCCCUGGGCCUGUACUGACGCUCAUGCACGAAAGCGUGGGGAGCAAACAGGAUUAGAUACCCCAGUAGUCCCUGUCUCUUAUAA